rnacentral:misc_RNA from 1 species
GAUGAAGAACGUAGUGAAAUGCGAUAAGUAAUGUGAAUUGCAGAAUUCAGUGAAUCAUCGAAUCUUUGAACGCACAUUGCGCCCGUCAGUAUUCUGGCGGGCAUGCCUGUUCGAGCGUCAUUACGCCCCUCAAGUCCCCUGUGGACUUGGUGUUGGGGAUCGGCGAGGCUGGUUUUCCAGCACAGCCGUCCCUUAAAUUAAUUGGCGGUCUCGCCGUGGCCCUCCUCUGCGCAGUAGUAAAACACUCGCAACAGGAGCCCGGCGCGGUCCACUGCCGUAAAACCCCCCAACUUUUUAUAGUUGACCUCGAAUCAGGUAGGACUACCCGCUGAACUUAAGUAUAUCAAUAAGCGGAGGA